GGUAUUUCAUUAAUCCCCAGUCCAAGGUUCCUUGGGUUCUUUCACAAAAUGUGAGCUUCAGCAGGGUCAUGGUCCUUUCAUGUAUCUCACGCAAGGGCCUGAUCCUACAAGGUACUGAGCCUCUUCUGCUACCCAGAAAGAGUUUCAGCCCCUGGCUGCACAGGAAACCUUUCAAAAACAGAUCUGAAAAGAGAGUCAGCACAGAGCUCGGAAAAUGAGUCCUAGGAUUCAUGUGCUGGAUGCUGGUGAAAAUGCUUUAGAGGAAAAGUUCCAAAAAGAAGGAGACAGCAACCUCUGGGGAAAAAAUAAAAGAUAUAUAAUGAUCAUUGUGGUUCAGAUUCUGAUCAGCUCAGCAGGAACCUCCAGAAUCAGGCAGCCGGAGGAAAAGGUGGAAGCAAGGCAGCCCGUUUUUGUUGGUUUCCUGGAAAUAACAGCAUCCCUCUAUCUUCCUCUCCUUGAUAUAGGGCAUCCUGAAACAGGAUUAACAGAUGUUCCAGACUUAGAAGAUAUUUUUCAGGACUGGCUGAUCUUCUCAGAUCCUCAAAUGUAGGCGUUUCUUGGACAGAACAUCAUAUUCAUGGAGACAGUAAAAACAGUAUCUCAUAGCUGUUUUAUGUCAGCAGACAAGAUUACAUGCACAAACUCAGAAUUUGGAAGAUGAAAUUGCUUGCAAAUGGAAUUUGACUGAGAAAUCUGGGACGGUGCUCUUUACUUCCAAUCUCAAAUUUGUGAAAGGUAUUUUGGGCUGUUUAAUGAUAAAGACAAUAGAUCUUUUACAUAUUAUAUAUGUAUACAUAUAUACA
rnacentral:lncRNA from 1 species